rnacentral:lncRNA from 1 species
AGGAUACUUUGCAUGGGCUCUUGGUGAUAACUAUGAAUUCUGCAAAGGCUUUACCGUUAGAUUCGGACUCAGUUACGUUAACUGGACAGACCUCGAUGAUAGAAACCUCAAGGAUUCUGGCAAAUGGUUCCAGAGGUUCAUUAACGUUACCACCAUCAAACCUCCAUCUGCCAAACAAGAAUUCCUCCGCUCAAGCCUCUCCUUCCAGAACAAGAAGCUCGCAGAUGCAUGAAACCCUCUUUUUCCAUGUCAACAUGUCUCACUCU